rnacentral:ncRNA from 2 species
CAUCUUGCCUGCGUCCACGGUCCCCGCGAGGGGAUAACAGGGAAUCCGGUGCGGGUGAAAAUCCCUAGUCCGGAGCUGCCCCCGCAACUGUCGGCGGAGACGGAUAUCCAUUGCCACUGGCGCCAGCCGGGAAGGCGGAUGUCCGGUUCGAUCCGCGAGCCAGGAGACCUACCGUGGAAUUGCGUUUCAC